GCCGAAGUGGCGGAAUUGGUAGACGCGCACGUUUGAGGGGCGUGUGGGUAGUCCCGUGCCGGUUCGAGUCCGGCCUUCGGCA
rnacentral:tRNA from 1 species